AUUGAACGCUGGCGGCAGGCUUAACACAUGCAAGUCGAGCGGGGGGAGGUAGCUUGCUACCUAACCUAGCGGCGGACGGGUGAGUAAUGCUUAGGAAUCUGCCUAUUAGUGGGGGACAACAUUUCGAAAGGGAUGCUAAUACCGCAUACGCCCUAAGGGGGAAAGCAGGGGAUCUUCGGACCUUGCGCUAAUAGAUGAGCCUAAGUCGGAUUAGCUAGUUGGUGGGGUAAAGGCCUACCAAGGCGACGAUCUGUAGCGGGUCUGAGAGGAUGAUCCGCCACACUGGGACUGAGACACGGCCCAGACUCCUACGGGAGGCAGCAGUGGGGAAUAUUGGACAAUGGGCGGAAGCCUGAUCCAGCCAUGCCGCGUGUGUGAAGAAGGCCUUAUGGUUGUAAAGCACUUUAAGCGAGGAGGAGGCUACUUUAGUCAAUACCUAGAGAUAGUGGACGUUACUCGCAGAAUAAGCACCGGCUAACUCUGUGCCAGCCGCCGCGGUAACAC
rnacentral:rRNA from 1 species